CCUACGGGGGGCAGCAGUGGGGAAUAUUGGACAAUGGGCGAAAGCCUGAUCCAGCCAUGCCGCGUGUGUGAAGAAGGCCUUCGGGUUGUAAAGCACUUUCAGUGGGGAAGAAAGCCUUGGGGCUAAUACCCUCGAGGAAGGACAUCACCCACAGAAGAAGCACCGGCUAACUCCGUGCCAGCAGCCGCGGUAAUACGGAGGGUGCGAGCGUUAAUCGGAAUUACUGGGCGUAAAGCGCGCGUAGGCGGUCUGAUAAGCCGGUUGUGAAAGCCCCGGGCUCAACCUGGGAACGGCAUCCGGAACUGUCAGGCUAGAGUGCAGGAGAGGAAGGUAGAAUUCCCGGUGUAGCGGUGAAAUGCGUAGAGAUUGGGAGGAAUACCAGUGGCGAAGGCGGCCUUCUGGACUGACACUGACGCUGAGGUGCGAAAGCGUGGGUAGCAAACAGGAUUAGAUACCCCGGUAGUC
rnacentral:rRNA from 1 species